rnacentral:rRNA from 1 species
UACGUAGGGGGCAAGCGUUGUCCGGAAUUAUUGGGCGUAAAGAGCGCGUAGGCGGUCCGAUAAGUCGGCUGUGAAAGUCCAGGGCUCAACCCUGGGAUGCCGGUGGAUACUGUCGGGCUCGAGUCCGGAAGAGGAGUGUGGAAUUCCUGGUGUAGCGGUGAAAUGCGCAGAUAUCAGGAGGAACACCAGUGGCGAAGGCGGAUUCCUGGAAAGAUACUGACUCUGAAACACGAAAGCCAGGGGAGCAAACGGG